GAGUUUGAUUCUGGCUCAGAUUGAACGCUGGCGGCAUGCUUUACACAUGCAAGUCGGACGGCAGCGCGGGCUUCGGCCUGGCGGCGAGUGGCGAACGGGUGAGUAAUACAUCGGAACGUGCCCAGUAGUGGGGGAUAGCUCGGCGAAAGCCGGAUUAAUACCGCAUACGACCUGAGGGUGAAAGCGGGGGACUUUAGGGCCUCGCGCUAUUGGAGCGGCCGAUGGCAGAUUAGCUAGUUGGUGGGGUAAAGGCCUACCAAGGCGACGAUCUGUAGCUGGUCUGAGAGGACGACCAGCCACACUGGGACUGAGACACGGCCCAGACUCCUACGGGAGGCAGCAGUGGGGAAUUUUGGACAAUGGGCGCAAGCCUGAUCCAGCAAUGCCGCGUGUGUGAUGAAGGCCUUCGGGUUGUAAAGCACUUUUGGCAGGAACGAAAAGUGCCGUGCUAAUAC
rnacentral:rRNA from 1 species